GAUGAACGCUGGCGGCGUGCUUAACACAUGCAAGUCGAACGGGAAUUAUUUUAUUGAAACUUCGGUCGAUUUAAUUUAAUUCUAGUGGCGGACGGGUGAGUAACGCGUGGGUAACCUGCCUUAUACAGGGGGAUAACAGUCAGAAAUGGCUGCUAAUACCGCAUAAGCGCACAGAGCUGCAUGGCUCAGUGUGAACAACUCCGGUGGUAUAAGAUGGACCCGCGUUGGAUUAGCUUGUUGGCAGGGUAACGGCCUACCAAGGCGACGAUCCAUAGCCGGCCUGAGAGGGUGAACGGCCACAUUGGGACUGAGACACGGCCCAGACUCCUACGGGAGGCAGCAGUGGGGAAUAUUGCACAAUGGGGGAAACCCUGAUGCAGCGACGCCGCGUGAAGGAAGAAGUAUCUCGGUAUGUAAACUUCUAUCAGCAGGGAAGAUAGUGACGGUACCUGACUAAGAAGCCCCGGCUAACUACGUG
rnacentral:rRNA from 1 species